GACGAACGCUGGCGGCAGGCUUAACACAUGCAAGUCGAACGCAUCCUUCGGGGUGAGUGGCAGACGGGUGAGUAACGCGUGGGAACGUGCCCUUCAGUUCGGGAUAACCCAGGGAAACUUGGGCUAAUACCGGAUACGUGCGAGAGCAGAAAGAUUUAUCGCUGAAGGAUCGGCCCGCGUCUGAUUAGCUAGUUGGUGGGGUAAUGGCCCACCAAGGCGACGAUCAGUAGCUGGUCUGAGAGGAUGAUCAGCCACAUUGGGACUGAGACACGGCCCAAACUCCUACGGGAGGCAGCAGUGGGGAAUAUUGGACAAUGGGCGCAAGCCUGAUCCAGCCAUGCCGCGUGAGUGAUGAAGGCCUUAGGGUUGUAAAGCUCUUUCGUCCGGGACGAUAAUGACGGUACCGGAAGAAGAAGCUCCGGCUAACUUCGUGCCAGCCGCCGCAGUAAAAC
rnacentral:rRNA from 1 species